ensembl:lncRNA
GCAAUCCCAACCCCUACCACUAGGGGGUGGCCUUGCCCUAUAUGCCUCAACCUAACAAUUACAGAUAAAAGAGUCCAAAAUCAGUUCCAUUCUGUAUAAUUCCGUCUUAACAGUGUGCAUGUGACAGCUAUGGCCCAGUCUGGGCUGAGCUGUGCUGAACUCUGUCCAAUUCCUCUAACAUGAGAUUUGGAUCUCAUGUUUUUCCUCUGUUUUCCCUGCCCAGAUCCUCAGCUUCUAUAAGCAAGCCCUAGAAUCAAAACAGAGAAGCAGGUCGGACUCAGGCAAACCUAACAAUUUCUACUUCCAAGCGGAACAAGGAACUUCUAGUCUAAACACCGUUCAGCAUUCUCAAGACUGCACAGAAGGAAACUCUUAGAAGAAUUCAGAUCGGUUUGCAGCUUAAAGAACAGGCUUGGAAGUCAGAACCCUAAGAGGUUUGGAUAAAUGGUGCUGGGAAAAUU